ensembl:ncRNA K10D6.10 ncRNA
UAGGUAUAUUUACUGUUGAUUUGACAGUAGUACGUUUUGAUCUGACCGCCGCCACCGCACUCUUUGCUGCCAUGUUGUUCAAAAGGCCCAAUGAGGUAAAUGACAGAAGACGUGAAAACAGCUGUCAACAAAUAAUA